rnacentral:rRNA from 1 species
CAUACGGGGGCAGCAGUGGGGAAUAUUGCAAAAUGGGGGGAACCCUGAUGCAGCGACGCCGCGUGGGUGAAGGAGUACUUCGGUACGUAAAGCCCUAUCAGCAGGAAAGAAAAUGACGGUACCUGACUAAGAAGCCCCGGCUAACUACGUGCCAGCAGCCGCGGUAAUACGUAGGGGGCAAGCGUUAUCCGGAUUUAUUGGGUGUAAAGGGUGCGUAGACGGAGAAGCAAGUUAGUUGUGAAAUCCCUCGGCUUAACUGAGGAACUGCAACUAAAACUACUUCCCUUGAGUACUGGAGGG